CUACGGGGUGCACCAGUGAGGAAUAUUGCACAAUGGGGGGAACCCUGAUGCAGCAACGCCGCGUGGAGGAUGACGCAUUUCGGUGUGUAAACUCCUUUUAUAUGUCAAGAAAAUGACGGUAGCAUAUGAAUAAGCACCGGCUAACUCCGUGCCAGCAGCCGCGGUAAUACGGAGGGUGCAAGCGUUACUCGGAAUCGCUGGGCGUAAAGGACGCGUAGGCGGGUUGGAAAGUCAGGUGUGAAAUCCUACAGCUUAACUGUAGAACCGCACUUGAAACUUCUAAUCUAGAGUAUGGGAGGGGGAGAUGGAAUUAGUGGUGGAGGGGUAAAAUCCGUAGAUAUCACUAGGAAUACCUAAAGCGAAGGCGAUCUCCUGGAACAUUACUGACGCUAAGGCGUGAAAGCGUGGGGAGCAAACAGGAUUAGAUACCCCCGUAGUC
rnacentral:rRNA from 1 species